GCCAGACUCCUACGGGAGGCAGCAGUGGGGGAUAUUGGACGAUGGGGGAAACCCUGAUCCAGCGACGCCGCGUGAGUGAAGAAGUAUUUCGGUAUGUAAAGCUCUGUCAGCAGGGAAGAAGGCAAUGACGGUACCUGACCAAGAAGCCCCGGCUAACUACGUGCCAGCAGCCGCGGUAAUACGUAGGGGGCAAGCGUUAUCCGGAAUUACUGGGUGUAAAGGGAGCGUAGACGGCUGUGCAAGUCUGGAGUGAAAGGCGGGGGCCCAACCCCCGGACUGCUCUGGAAACUGUAUGGCUGGAGUGCAGGAGAGGUAAGCGGAAUUCCUAGUGUAGCGGUGAAAUGCGUAGAUAUUAGGAGGAACCCCAGUGGCGAAGGCGGCUUACUGGACUGUAACUGACGUUGAGGCUCGAAAGCGUGGGGAGCAAACAGGAUUAGAUACCCGAG
rnacentral:rRNA from 1 species